rnacentral:rRNA from 1 species
UACGUAGGGUGCAAGCGUUGUCCGGAUUUACUGGGUUUAAAGGGUGCGUAGGCGGCUUAGUAAGUCGUAGAUGAAAUGGCGGGGCUCAACCUCGUCGCUGUUUACGAUACUGCUGAGCUAGAGCGGUCAUGAGGCAGCUGGAAUGAGUGGUGUAGCGGUGAAAUGCGUAGAGAUCACUCAGAACACCUAUUGCGAAGGCAGGUUGCUGGGGAGUCGCUGACGCUGAGGCACGAAAGCGUGGGGAGCAAACAGG